CAGUUUCUAUCCUCUUUUUGAAAUGAGCUAAUUUUGUACGAAAGGACUUUUUCGCUAAAGCAAUGCUUUGUCACAAAUCUGUGUUUACAUGAAUAAUAGUGUAUAAUAGGUUGAUUAGCCUAUAGAAAGGGUCA
rnacentral:rRNA from 1 species